rnacentral:rRNA from 1 species
GAGUUUGAUCCUGGCUCAGAGCGAACGCUGGCGGCAUGCUUAACACAUGCAAGUCGCACGGACCCUUCGGGGUUAGUGGCGCACGGGUGAGUAACACGUAGGAAUCUGUCUUGAGGUGGGGGAUAACUCCGGGAAACUGGAGCUAAUACCGCAUGAUAACUGAGGUUCAAAGGUCGCAAGACCGCCUUGAGAGGGGCCUGCGUUCGAUUAGUUAGUUGGUGGGGUAAUGGCCUACCAAGACGAUGAUCGAUAGCUGGUUUGAGAGGAUGAUCAGCCACACUGGGGCUGAGACACGGCCCAGACUCCUACGGGAGGCAGCAGUGGGGAAUAUUGGACAAUGGGGGCAACCCUGAUCCAGCAAUGCCGCGUGUGUGAAGAAGGUCUUCGGAUUGUAAAACACUUUCGUUGGGGACGAUGAUGACGGUACCCAAAGAAGAAGCCCCGGCUAACUUCGUGCCAGCAGCCGCGGUAAUACGAAGGGGGCGAGCGUUGCUCGGAAUAACUGGGCGUAAAGGGCGCGUAGGCGGCCGAUAGCUGUCAGAUGUGAAAUUUUUGGGCUCAACCCGAAAACUGCAUUUGAUACGUAUUGGCUAGAGUGCGAGAGAGGAUUGCGGAAUUCCCAGUGUAGAGGUGAAAUUCGUAGAUAUUGGGAAGAACACCAGUUGCGAANGCGGCAAUCUGGCUCGUUACUGACGCUGAGGNGCGAAAGCGUGGGGAGCANC